AUACUGCAAUAACAAUAAUGACAAUAAUAACUAAAUAAAAAAGAUUUCAUGGGCCAUUCAAAAGUAUCUGGUGGUUUGGAUUGGCCCACGGUCCACCUAUUCACUACCCCUGUACUAAAGUGUGAACAGGCAAUGCACAGUCUCAUUAUCGUGUCCCCUUUCUGCUCCUGGGACCAUGGCACUGCUUUGUUGCCUCAUCACUCCUUGAGGAGAGGUUGCCUACAUCAAAAUAUAUAUGCAUUAAAUGGGCACCUUACUCUAAAGUGUCAGGUACUGGACAUAGUCAAAGCUGAGAUCCUAAAGGCAACUGAAUGAGCCAGUGGCUAGGGCCCUGUGAAAUCUGCGUUAAUGUGAACGUGGGCGGAAUCAAAACAAUAACAGACUCCAGCGUGCUGUGUGUUUUUAAAAAAUAAAUAAAUAAAAAUCUGGCAUUAUAUAAAAAAUAGAUGCUUGGCAGUAGAAAAUGAAGCUUGAUGAAACCUACUUGCACAAAUUUUGUACCGUGUGGGAAUUUUCAAAGACUCGUGUGUACACACAAUGAGAAUGCUUUUUCACAUUUCACCACCACCGUAGGUUAACUGACUGUUGCUUAGACACGUGGCCCACUACUACUAGUGCGGUUCCCCCCCCCAUGGUUCAGUACACGAUUUAGCAUGUCUAAAAGGCAUUCUACAACUGGAAAAUGCUCAUCCAAAAAGCUAAGAAACAUUAUGCUGACACCAAAGGGAAGAGCUAGUCAGUUUCCCUAAUGACAUCUAUGAAUCGGGCAGUAUGAUGAUCUGAAAAUGCGGUCAACAUACAAUAGACUGGACCUGAAAAGAUACCUGCAACGAUCAUCUAAUGUCAAAAAACCAUCUGAAGAAUCGAGCCACAUAUGACUAGAAUCAUUGAGAUUCUCACUCUCUACAGAGAACAAUUGCAGACAGUAUGAAAUCUGCAGAUGCCAGAGGGGAGUUUGUUGAAGAUUUUGUUGUGGUCUGUGCUGAGGCUGAUAUCUCAUUGGAAAAAAUGACGACGCUUCCAUGUUUCCUCUUAAAACACUGCCGGAGGGAUCGGGGAGUGGGAAUUGUCUGAAAAUGAAGCGGCACAUUGGCAGUUUAACCUGCUGUGUGUUUAUCAGGAGCACAUGGUGGCAUUGCUGGCCAAAAUCCAUGGGGAAAAGAUUUCCUUGGUGAUCGACGAGACGACAAAUAUCUGAGAGUGCAGUGUGCUAAAUAUAGUCAUAGGUGUUGAAGGUCAGUACUAUUUGACUGAUGUUAUAGUCAUGGAGAGCUGCAACACUCCACAUUCUCACAGGCUGUUCUGGUGUCAAUGAUUAGGAACCAGUUCACCACACUAAUGUUUGGGCAGUUGUAACUGACAAGGCAGCAUACUGCAUCAAAGCAUACAGAGAAGCACUGAAAUGUGUCAUGCCCAACAGUAUACAUGUGACAUGUCUGUGUCAGAUAGAUAAUCAGUCUGAUAAGUGAGAUGUGGCUGCAUUGUCACUUCUUUAGCGAUGUGGCAUCUUUCAUUACUUGGAUGAAAUCUGCCUUCUUCAAAAAGUCAUCCAGAAAAUGAAGAUGGGUUGCUUUUCUUAAGUCCAAAGGUGAUGUGCACACCACGAAGGUCCCCCUGAAGCAGUACAUAUAAGAUGAAAUAGCUGGUUUCAAGCAGUAAAAUAUCAUGCAGAUCACACUGAUCUCUACAAGGACAUUUUUGAAAAAAGAAGUCAUUAGCACAGGCUGUGACAAACCUUUUGGCAUUACUUAGCAGUCAGGAGAAAUCAGACUUGCUGACACUUAAGACAGCUUUCAUAUCUGAAGCUUUCCCCAAACUGAUAACACCCCUGACCAUCUUUGAUGGUACCCACUGCCCUACAGCUGUUUCAGCUUUCAAUAUUAUGGAGGACAUGGGGUUUCACUUGCUUUCUGGAACAGACAAAACUUGGGGGUUUGGUGAAGAAACUGAAAGACUCUUGGAUGACUUCUCCAUAAGAGAGAAGAAAAAUACCCUGGACAAUAUGGAUGAAACCUAUCAGCUUGCUUUUAACAAAUUCCAAACACUGAGAUGUCCAUCCAGCAAAAGACGUGUAUUGACAGGCAGAUUCCAGCCACGCAACACAACAUUGAUCAGUACAGCAAGCUACCACCUUUUGCCCACUCCUCAUCAGAACUGUAUGAACCAGUGGCUUGUGUUUCUGCGCAACACUCAGAAUGAGCACAUCCCAGAUCCACUGGAUCUUUGUUCCUUCAUAGCCUUCCAGUAAGCACAAGUGCCUAGAGUAGCAGAGGUUGCCCUACCUUAGAUCUUCCUCCCUGUCAGCUCUCUAGACGCAGCUAGAAACUAUAGUAAAUAUAAAAAUCUACUUACAGACAAGAAGGAAUCACUUUCUGAGGCAAACACUAAAAGGAUAACCAUAAUGUACCACAAUGGAGAUGUCUGCUGGAGAUGGCAAAAAUGUUAUUUAAGUUUGUCAAUUUAUAAUGCUACUCACCAAUAAACAGUUGACUGUGAAAUUAUUUAAUCCAAUUUGAAAUUAAUUUCAGCAUUCUUUCAGAAUAUAGGAGCUUGAAAGUAGCAAGUUUAAGUUAGAAUGGCAGCAAUGACUGCUGCAAGGAUGGAUUAUUUUAUGUUUAGUGCAUUAUUUUUAUUUUUUAAUCAAAUAUGAUUUUAGUUAAAUUGACACUGUUACAGGCUCUUACUUCUGUGUACUUCUUGUGUUACUGUACAGCAAUGUAAGUGGUCAUAUGACUGCUACUUUAAAAAGUGAUUUAAAAUGUUACUUUUACUGUGUAGUGUAUAUCUGCAGGAUGUUUUGUUUAAAUUGUAGGGUUUUUUUUGUAAAAUCCAUUUUCCCCAUUGCAAUCUAAUACUGAAAAUUUCUAUACAUUUAUAAUAAGGCUACUUAAUAAUGUAGCAAACAAUUUUAAUUAAAAACAUAAAGAUAGAAUUUUUUUAAUGGAAAAAAAUGAAAUCCAAAAAUAAUAAAUCCCAAAAUCCACAAUAAUAAAAUGGAUUUCAUAAGCCCCAAGUGGUCUCAUCCAGUAUUGUAGGUGUCGUACUAGAUUAUAUGGGCAGUUAUAUGAUGUGGUGUUACUAUAUGAGCCUUGAGUUCAUGCAUGGAUUUCUGCAAUUGAGGACAGAACAGACCACAAACUUUUAGAGGAGUUGAUAAUAUUUGACACUUUGUGUUCAAAGCAUAGUAGAAGCAUGAAUCCCCACAUCACCUCUGUGCAGUAGAUAAUUAAUUAUCACCAUUUUUACUGCUGGAGAAUGAAGUGAAUUAUAUGACUUGCCCAGGACCAGAAAGCAAGUCAAUGAUAGAGCCAGGAUGACAUCUCAGGACUCCCAAACCUUGUGCUUAUGGGUUUCCCUGUCUUCCUUUCUCUCUGCCAGCUCUCCCUUUUUCUUCUGCCUUCUCAAAAUAGAAUUUUGUUUCCAGUGA